rnacentral:rRNA from 1 species
UACAGAGGGGGCAAGCGUUGUUCGGAAUUACUGGGCGUAAAGGGCGCGUAGGCGGCCUGCUAAGUCGAACGUGAAAUCCCUGGGCUCAACCCAGGAACUGCGUCCGAUACUGGUUGGCUUGAAUCCGGGAGAGGGAUGUGGAAUUCCAGGUGUAGCGGUGAAAUGCGUAGAUAUCUGGAGGAACACCGGUGGCGAAGGCGACAUCCUGGACCGGUAUUGACGCUGAGGCGCGAAAGCGUGGGGAUCAAACAGG